UUUAACUCGAUUUACUUCUAUUACGUUAAUUUAAGGUUUUAUUAUUGAUUCGAUUUAUGCUUCUGUCUCUUCUGUGUUCCCUUUUUUCUAGGGUUUUAAGAGCCGUUGGGAAAUCGAUUUUCCAAUUAAAUCUCUCUCGCUGGAGCUGGUUGGAGACAUCUUUGAAGAAAUUAUUAAAAGAGAAAAGCUUUAAACAGGGUUUUAGGAAGAUUGAUCCUGAUCAGUGGGAGUUUGCAAAUGUGGAAUUUAGAAGAGGUCAGAAACAUCUUCUACCAAGAAUUCACCGUCGCAAGCCAAUUCAUUGCCAUUCUGCACAUCAACAAGGUCCAUAGAUUCAGAAAGACAGGAACUUGAAGAUGAAAUCGUGAAGCUCAAACAUGAUAAGCAUUUGC